UGACCCCUGCCGUGUUCGUGAUUGGAAGAUGCGCUUUGAUCCAACACCGACCAACGGGGAACCUUCUCUGGUUUCGGUGUGCAUGUUCUGCCUGUACAGAAAAGCCUGAAGAAAUCAUAAGGAUCUCAACUGAAAAAAUGUUUCAAAGGCCCGCCAACACGGCACUGUGGCGGGGGUUUU
rnacentral:other from 1 species